UACGAAGGGGGCUAGCGUUGCUCGGAAUUACUGGGCGUAAAGCGCACGUAGGCGGAUUUGUAAGUCAGGGGUGAAAUCCCGGGGCUCAACCUCGGAACUGCCUUUGAUACUGCAAAUCUCGAGUCCGGAAGAGGUGAGUGGAACUGCGAGUGUAGAGGUGAAAUUCGUAGAUAUUCGCAAGAACACCAGUGGCGAAGGCGGACUCACUGGUCCGGUACUGACGCUGAGGUGCGAAAGCGUGGGGAGCAAACAGGG
rnacentral:rRNA from 1 species